rnacentral:rRNA from 1 species
CCUACGGGAGGCAGCAGUGGGGAAUAUUGGGCAAUGGGCGCAAGCCUGACCCAGCAACGCCGCGUGAAGGAAGAAGGCUCUCGGGUUGUAAACUUCUUUUAUCAGGGACGAAGCAAGUGACGGUACCUGAUGAAUAAGCCACGGCUAACUACGUGCCAGCAGCCGCGGUAAUACGUAGGUGGCAAGCGUUAUCCGGAUUUACUGGGUGUAAAGGGCGUGUAGGCGGGAAAGCAAGUCAGAUGUGAAAACCAUGGGCUCAACCUGUGGCCUGCAUUUGAAACUGUUUUUCUAGAGUACUGGAGAGGCAGACGGAAUUGCUAGUGUAGCGGUGAAAUGCGUAGAUAUUAGGAGGAACUCCGAUUGCGAAGGCAGCAUACCGGCGCUCAACUGACGCUCAUGCACGAAAGUGUGGGUAUCGAACAGGAUUAGAUACCCUUGUAGUC